AUGGCCUGGGUCUCUGUCUUCCUCAUCGUACUUGCUCACUGCACAGGGUCCUGGGCCCAGUCUGUGCUGACUCAGCCAUCUUCAGUGUCUGGGUCCCUGGGCCAGACGCUCACCAUUUCCUGCACUGGAAGCCCAGCCAACACUGGGGCCGGUUAUUGUGUGUUUUGGUACCAACAGCUCCCAGGAAUGACCCUUAAAGCCAUUCUCCAUGAGAACACUUGGCCUUCGGGGGUCCCAGACCGGUUCUCUGGCUCCAAGUCUGGCAACACAGGCUCCUUGACCAUCCCUGGGCUCCAGGUGGACGACGAGGCUGAUGAUCACGGCUCAGCGUGGGACAAGAAACUCAUUGCUUAUGCAGUGCCCAGUCCUUUGGGGAAGUGA